rnacentral:rRNA from 1 species
UACGGAGGAUCCGAGCGUUAUCCGGAUUCAUUGGGUUUAAAGGGUGCGUAGGUUGUUUUAUAAGUUAGCGGUGAAAUACCGAUGCUCAACAUCGGGGCUGCCGCUGAUACUGUAGGACUAGAGAUCGGAUGCAGCAGGCGGAAUGCGUAGUGUAGCGGUGAAAUGCAUAGAUAUUACACAGAACACCGAUUGCGAAGGCAGCUUGCUAGGCCGGAUCUGACACUGAUGCACGAAAGCGUGGGGAUCGAACAGG